UGGGGAAUUUUGGACAAUGGGCGAAAGCCUGAUCCAGCAAUGCCGCGUGUGUGAAGAAGGCCUUCGGGUUGUAAAGCACUUUUGUCCGGAAAGAAAUCCUUGGCUCUAAUACAGUCGGGGGAUGACGGUACCGGAAGAAUAAGCACCGGCUAACUACGUGCCAGCAGCCGCGGUAAUACGUAGGGUGCAAGCGUUAAUCGGAAUUACUGGGCGUAAAGCGUGCGCAGGCGGUUUGCUAAGACCGAUGUGAAAUCCCCGGGCUCAACCUGGGAACUGCAUUGGUGACUGGCAGGCUAGAGUAUGGCAGAGGGGGGUAGAAUUCCACGUGUAGCAGUGAAAUGCGUAGAGAUGUGGAGGAAUACCGAUGGCGAAGGCAGCCCCCUGGGCAAGUACUGACGCUCAUGCACGAAAGCGUGGGGAGCAAAACAGGAUUAGAUACCCUGGUAGUCCACGCCCUAAAACGAUGUCAACUAGUUGUUGGGGAUUCAUUUCCUUAGUAACGUAGCUAACGCGUGAAGUUGACCGCCUGGGGAGUACGGUCGCAAGAUUAAAACUCAAAGGAAUUGACGGGGUCAUAGCUGUUUCCU
rnacentral:rRNA from 1 species